UUUUCCGACCUGUCCUUGCCUUGGUGACGUUGUGAACAUAACCGAACGGGACUUGGCCAUUAAGGUUUGGAUCGGGAAAUGCCGAGCUAGAAUCGGAGUUUGAUCCGCUGAGCGAGAAACAAGAUGGCGAGCCACCCACGGACCCAUUGAACUGUACCGAGCAGGAAAAAGGAAAACGCCCCCUGCUGGACGUUGAGCUCUUUCGCUGAUAAAACUGGUAGGAUUAAUCCAUACACCUCUGCAAAAGAACAGCGGACUUUUCAAAGCACUGGAUAAUCAUUCGGAGUAAUUCCAGGACUAAUAGUUAAAGGACACAAAGACAACUUUCUUUUGUUUAUUUGUUUGUUUAAGGGAUUUAUUCAGCCUUUUGCUGAAUUGUUUUCAGUUUUACAUUUAUUUAUUUAUUUUUGUAAUUUAUUUUGGUCAACCUUACAUUUUAAUGCUGUAAUGGUGUUAAUGGAAGUGUAAAUAAUUUUGUUGGGUUAAAACAAAAUAAGAACUGGUUGAGAAUUUAAAGGUGAACCUAGACCAAGAUUAAAUUAAAUCUUGGGCCUAAAGAACUGAACUUGAUUUAAAAUAACACAGUGUUAAUGCAAAUAGAUCAAAGGAUAAACUUGAACUUAGAACUUGAAAUAAAUAAAACAAUAACCUAGGUUGAGAAUAACAUCCUUCUAAAGCCAAAUAAAAGGUUUUGAGAUAAAUAGGAUGAACUAACAGAACAUACUGAACUAAGAAGGGGAAAGAAAACAUCUUGUUUUCCUUAAAUGUGUGAUGUUGAAUGUUUUAUGUAAUGUGUCUAUAACUGUCUAUUCUCUGUCUUCACAAAAUAAUAAGCCGGCAAUUUAAACGUA